rnacentral:tRNA from 8 species
GGGGGUAUAGCCAAGCGGUAAGGCAACGGACUUUGACUCCGUUAUCGGUGGUUCGACUCCACCUACCCCUGCCA